UGGGGAAUAUUGCACAAUGGGGGAAACCCUGAUGCAGCGACGCCGCGUGAACGAAGAAGGUAUUCGUAUCGUUCAGUUCUGUCCUAUGGGAAGAUAAUGACAGUACCAUAGAAGAAAGCUCCGGCUAAAUACGUGCCAGCAGCCGCGGUAAUACGUAUGGAGCGAGCGUUGUCCGGAAUUAUUGGGCGUAAAGGGUACGCAGGCGGUUUAAUAAGUCGAAUGUUAAAGAUCGGGGCUCAACCCCGCAAAGCAUUGGAAACUGAUAAACUUGAGUAGUGGAGAGGAAAGUGGAAUUCCUAGUGUAGUGGUGAAAUACGUAGAUAUUAGGAGGAAUACCAGUAGCGAAGGCGACUUUCUGGACACAAACUGACGCUGGGGUACGAAAGCGUGGGGAGCAAACAGG
rnacentral:rRNA from 1 species